ACCUGGCCUUCGGGCCAGGGGACAGCGGCGAACGGGUGAGUAACACGUGGGCAACCUGCCCUCGGUACUGGGAUAGCCCGGGGAAACCCGGAUUAAUACCGGAUAGCCUCCGAAGCCUUCGGGCGUCGGAAGAAAGGUGGCUUCGGCAUCCGACCGAGGACGGGCCCGCGGCGGAUUAGCUUGUUGGUGGGGUAACGGCCCACCAAGGCAACGAUCCGUAGCUGGUCUGAGAGGACGAUCAGCCACACUGGGACUGAGACACGGCCCAGACUCCUACGGGAGGCAGCAGUGGGGAAUCUUGCGCAAUGGGCGAAAGCCUGACGCAGCGACGCCGCGUGCGGGAAGAAGGCCUUCGGG
rnacentral:rRNA from 1 species